GGGGCCGACUGGUUUUGACAGCAGGGUAAACUGGUAUGUAAGCAUGCCGAGCCUGUAAUCACGCUCGUUAAUCCUGGUUACGAACCAAUAAAUGGCGAAACCAAUUACGCGCUCGCAGCCUAAUCGAAGCAUAGUAGAUUAAGGCUUUUCCGUCAUCAGAUGGCGGACGAGCUGUCUCUCCGGAACCCUGCCUUGCGGUUCCGGGUUCAGAGGCACCAGGAAAGCAGGGCUGGUUUGCCUGGCGCUCCGGAAGGCAAACGAGAAAACAGGAGCUAAGGCUGCAGAUACCCU
rnacentral:tmRNA from 1 species